rnacentral:rRNA from 1 species
UACGAAGGGGGCUAGCGUUGCUCGGAAUCACUGGGCGUAAAGCGCACGUAGGCGGCUUUCUAAGUCAGGGGUGAAAUCCUGGAGCUCAACUCCAGAACUGCCUUUGAUACUGGAGAGCUUGAGUCCGGGAGAGGUGAGUGGAACUCCGAGUGUAGAGGUGAAAUUCGUAGAUAUUCGGAAGAACACCAGUGGCGAAGGCGGCUCACUGGACCGGUUCUGACGCUGAUGCGCGAAAGCGUGGGGGAGCAAACGGGG